ACACCCUUAUUGAGAAUGCUUCGUUCUCCUCUGUUCUCCUCUCCAACCUAUGUGGGAUCUCACGUCAAUAUACUGGAGAUGGAUUGGGAUUUGACCAUUCUUAUGUUUAGAACUUUCAAGAUCAUAAUGCAUGGGUUCACAGUAGGUCUUUAUAUAUCUUGUUCGUUUACAUGGUACUUAGUCUUUUUCCUAGCGCUAGAGUUAUAGAAACUUGAAAAUUCCACUAAAAGUUUUAUUGUGAACUCGAAAAUAUGAAUUACAGUUGAUUAUCCCAAGUAAUUUGAGAAACUGAGGAAAAUUCUUAAUCACCAUUUAGUGACUUACUCUGUAGUCAAUGACUAAUAUGCUUUCACUUUAUCCUCAAGGUGUAUUUGACCAAGAGGUUCUCCUGUGGAAAAUUAAAUAAUUGUAUAUAGAGAAAAAUUGAAGUGUCAACAAGUUUUUCUCCCUUCUCCACUCCUUUUUGUUGAAAAAUUCAAGCCACUGCUCCUGGGUAAAUCCUCCUAGAUAUUUGAAACACAGUUGGUUGUUGCCAAUAAUUUGUAACAAUAAGUGCAGUCCAUAAUUUAGUAUAUAUAACACCUAGCGCUAGAACUCAUCAUGGCCAUGGCACUUGUAUUAUUUUCUUCUUUUGGUAGAGAAAGAUUCUCAGCAAUUACUUUAAAUUCGGCAUUGUGUCCGAAACUUCACAAGUCCAAGGCCCACUUAAGCUCACGCCCUUGCUACAUCUUCAAUGAUACUUCGUUUAGCAUUUGUUGGACCUCUCUUCCUUUACAGUUCUAGUUCCAACCACACCUUUUGUCAUUGGCGUAGGCUUCCUUUAGACUCGUUUUUAUUUUCAUCAACUAUUUGUCUUGCUUCUAUUGCAUUCCUUUUUCCCCACAUGUUCUCAAUUGGACAUCCACUCCAUGCCACUCUACUCAUUGUUUUACGCAUUGUUAUGUGUUUUCUUGGUUGUUUAUGUGUUGUUCUCAAACCUUUUCAUAUGGAGGUGGAUUUUAUAAUUAAAAGGGAAAAAAAAACUCUCUUUAGUUUGACUUGAGCUACACAUUAUUGCCCUUUCAUGCGAUUCUUCUGGUAGGGGGCGUUUUUGGCCAUCUUAUGAAAGUCUUGCUCUUGAGGAAUUUCGAACACAAGAAUUUUCAGGGUAAGAGGGUCUUGGGGAGUGAUGUGGGUCUUGGCUCACUGUUAUGGCUCUCUUUAGGUCAUUUACAAGUAGCACCUGUUAUCAUUUAUCUUUUUCUUUUUACUCUUAGUAACUAGAGUCUUUUCAAGUAGUUUUGUUCUGUGUUUAGUAGCUCCUUUUUAGUUUAAUCCUUCUCUUUCAUUCAAAAUAAGGAUGGAAGGUGGAUUGUAUGGAGACAUAUGUCAUGGUAUUGGUGGUGGGGUUUAUGAUUACAAAACAAAAUCUCUCUCAAUCAAGAGAGGAAGGUACAGGUCUAAAUAGUGCCCCAGUUGAAUUAUUACAGACAUGUUUUUCUUUGAUAAUGAGGAAAAGUUUCCGGCAUAUGGUCAAUGUUUUGCAAAAAUUUUGUUUGAUUAGGGGAUAUGGCUACUUUUUCUUAGGCAGCAAUUGUUGGUCUUCAUUGUCUGAAAUAUACUCUAAAUCUUUCAUGUUAAGUUUUUUCUUUGCCUGUGUUUAGUUUCUCUUGGGGAGGAUAGCCAGAAUUUGUGGAACUCUGGAACCCAGUGACUGACGAAGUUGUAGAAAGUUAUGAUUUCACAUUAGCCAAAACUUGAGCUCAUGACCUGCCCAGGAACACAGAUUGCCGUGCCCUCGACCAAUAAACCAAGAAGUUGUUAUUGUACGGUACAUUUUUUUAAUAAAUUCUCUACCACCGUGGUAUUAAUUGAAGAAAUUAUCAUGAACUUUUAUUGGGAAGGUCCAUAUGUGGAUGGUGAAAAUUGUCUCUUACUCCUUUGAACUCGGGUGGUCUUGAAAUUGGAAUUUUGAGUUUGAAAAACACAGCUUUGAUUUGUAAAGGUUGUUAAGAUAUUUGAUAGAAUAAAAAUUGAUAGUGGCAUAGGAUCAUCGUUGAUAAAUAUGGCUAGAAAUCUAUUGAGUUAACAACAGUGGUGCACUAGAAGUUGUUGGUCAUCCUUCGUUAGGGGUGAAGUGGAUUGGUUUAGGUCAGUUUUUGUAGAAAUCCGAUCUGAGCCAUUCCGAUUUAGAGAAGAAACCCAUCUCAAUUCAUGUUUGAACAAAAGUAGGUUGGGUCGAGUCACUCAUGUUUUUUUCCCCACCCAGUCCAUUUCCAUCUUGGUUUCUCCAUCUCCUUUACCCAUUCCUUUUUCUUCCCAAACCUGACCAAAUGUUUGUAUCAAUCAAUCUUCUUCUUUUCCCACAAAAUCCAUCUUAAUUUCUCAAUCUUCAAUUUCCUCCUCCUUCCCUUUCCAUAUUUCCCCUCUUCCUCUUCCCUCGUUCAAACCACCAUCCUCAACAUCAUAAAACUACAACAUUAUCCAAAUCGUAACUCAAAUCAUGAGUGGGUUGAACCUAAAGAUAGAUCUGUGUUGGGUGAUAGAAAGAAAGAAAGAGAGAGAAAAAAAAAGGUGUGGCUUGGUGAAAUAGGUAAAGCAAGCUUCAGAUUGAGAAAAUCUAGUCUGGUUUGCAGUUGAAGAAGAAAACCAUGCUUGGGUUGCCUUCGAAGCGGAGAUCCUGUUGUUUUCGUUUGUGCCCGGAUGUGAGAACGACUAUUGAGAUUUUGAUUUAAAAAAAUGAUGGUUGCCAUGUCCAUUGGGAGAGAUCCAUGACUUAGAUUAUAGACUAGAAAGAGUGUAAGUUCGGAAGCGAAUCAAGGGGAGAAAGAGAUAGCAUGAGAAAUGAAUGAAACCUAACUCAAAUAAUGAGUCAGUUCAGGUAAAUCAAGAACUGAACUGAACCAUAGCGGUUCGGUUCGGGUCAAAUAAUGGUUAAAAGUGAACCAAACUGACCCGAACCAAAACUACAAAAAACUGUUCUUGCAAACCUAGAAUGCCAAUGGCAUUGAUUGAAGAUUCUAAAGUUUUGAAUGGAUAAAUGGAUCAAAUGAUGGAACGAGUGUAAAUUUCCCAGACCGUACAUGAUGCAAACAUUGAUUGUAGUCAUUCCAUGUAUUGAGGAUUUUGGGGUUAGAUUCCGUUGAUAUGGAAUUUCGAAUUGAUUUCCAGUUAUUCAUCAACUAUAGGUCUUCCCUGUAACAUACCCAGACGUAAAAGUUUGAAGACUUGGCAAGUCUGUUUUUUUUUAUAAUUUUUUAAUUUUUUAAUUUUUUUUUUUUUUAAUAAAUUGAUUCUUAAUUGUGUUUUGAAUGGUCUUGGAAAACGCACUCAAGUAUGUACAGCUUUUCUUCCCCAAAUUCUUUGUUUUUAAGCCACUGGAAACCAUCAUUUCCUGCCAUGUGGUGUCUGUUUAACAAUUGUUAAAGUGAAAACCGGUAAUGUGCUGACUUUAAUUGUGCUUCUAUAUAAAUCCCUUGUGAGGGAAUUUCAGAUUUCUGUAACGGAGGAAGAAGAAGCUAGUGUUGCAUAUUACAUAUAUAUUAUAUCUAUCUUGUUAUGCUUUUAUUGAGUUCUGCCACCCAUUUUUCCUUGCUUUCCUUUUGUUUUCUUCUUAGAACUACUUUUUAUAUUUUGAUCAAUAUGCAACUUCUGAUGGACUGGGUGGAUAAAGCGUGGCCCGUAAAGACGAAGAUGUGGCGUUUGAAAACAUUUUAAGAUGAAACUGGUGCUUUUGUAGAUGCUUCAUUUUAGCCCUUUUUGCUGUAUAUCUUCUGAACUAAUGGCUUCUCAUUUUCUGUGUACACUUUUUUUAUGCUUUCUUUUCAAUGUUGGUUUAUAGGGUUCUUCUGCUCUGCGUAUGUUCCUUUUAGUAUACUGCAAAAAUUUUCUCUGUUGUGGGAUGAUUAGAAUAUCACCUAUUUUUUUAUUGCACAUCUUGUUUGGUAUAAUAAGGCACAAUUACCUGUAAGUGAUUUCUAGAUGAAUUUAUAGCAGUUUGAUGUAUAACUUUUCUAUAAGAUAAAGUAGCAUUCAAAAAUGCUUUGGUAUCGUUUUGAAACUUCAAAAAAAUAUUUGUAGAUUAUGAAAGAUUGACUUCGUAGCAUUUUGAUGUUUAACUUUUGGACUAGUAUGAAAGUUAUGCAUACAUGUGUUAUUCUCCAUUUUUGUUUGUUAUCUUU